rnacentral:rRNA from 1 species
GAUCCUGACUCAGGAUGAACGCUGGCGGCGUGCUUAAUACAUGCAAGUCGAACGAAGCACUUAAGACGGACUUCUUCGGAACGAAGACUUUUGUGACUGAGUGGCGGACGGGUGAGUAACGCGUGGGUAACCUGCCUUGUACAGGGGGAUAACAGUUGGAAACGACUGCUAAUACCGCAUAAGCGCACAGUACCGCAUGGUACGGUGUGAAAAACUCCGGUGGUACAAGAUGGACCCGCGUCUGAUUAG